rnacentral:rRNA from 1 species
CCUACGGGACGCACCAGUGGGGAAUAUUGGACAAUGGGCGCAAGCCUGAUCCAGCCAUGCCGCGUGAGUGAUGAAGGCCUUAGGGUUGUAAAGCUCUUUUGUCCGGGACGAUAAUGACGGUACCGGAAGAAUAAGCCCCGGCUAACUUCGUGCCAGCAGCCGCGGUAAUACGAAGGGGGUUAGCGUUGCUCGGAAUCACUGGGCGUAAAGGGCGCGUAGGCGGCCGAUUAAGUCGGGGGUGAAAGCCUGUGGCUCAACCACAGAAUUGCCUUCGAUACUGGUUGGCUUGAGACCGAAAGAGGACAGCGGAACUGCGAGUGUAGAGGUGAGAUUCGUAGAUAUUCGCAAGAACACCAGUGGCGAAGGCGGCUGUCUGGUCCGGUUCUGACGCUGAGGCGCGAAAGCGUGGGGGGCAAACAGGAUUAGAUACCCGCGUAGUC